rnacentral:rRNA from 1 species
GGGUUGUGAGGUUAAGCGACUAAGCGUACACGGUGGAUGCCCUGGCAGUCAGAGGCGAUGAAGGACGUGCUAAUCUGCGAAAAGCGUCGGUAAGGUGAUAUGAACCGUUAUAACCGGCGAUGUCCGAAUGGGGAAACCCAGUGCAAUUCGUUGCACUAUCGUUAACUGAAUACAUAGGUUAACGAGGCGAACCGGGGGAACUGAAACAUCUAAGUACCCCGAGGAAAAGAAAUCAACCGAGAUUCCCCCAGUAGCGGCGAGCGAACGGGGAGCAGCCCAGAGUCUGAAUCAGCUUGUGUGUUAGUGGAACGGUCUGGAAAGUCCGACGGUACAGGGUGAUAGUCCCGUACACCAAAAUGCACAGGUUGUGAACUCGAAGAGUAGGGCGGGACACGUGGUAUCCUGUCUGAAUAUGGGGGACCAUCCUCCAAGGCUAAAUACUCCUGACUGACCGAUAGUGAACCAGUACCGUGAGGGAAAGGCGAAAAGAACCCCGGCGAGGGGAGUGAAAAAGAACCUGAAACCGUGUACGUACAAGCAGUGGGAGCACCUUCGGGUGUGACUGCGUACCUUUUGUAUAAUGGGUCAGCGACUUAUAUUCUGUAGCAAGGUUAACCGUAUAGGGGAGCCGCAGGGAAACCGAGUCUUAACUGGGCGUUAAGUUGCAGGGUAUAGACCCGAAACCCGGUGAUCUAGCCAUGGGCAGGUUGAAGGUUGGGUAACACUAACUGGAGGACCGAACCGACUAAUGUUGAAAAAUUAGCGGAUGACUUGUGGCUGGGGGUGAAAGGCCAAUCAAACCGGGAGAUAGCUGGUUCUCCCCGAAAGCUAUUUAGGUAGCGCCUCGUGAACUCAUCUUCGGGGUAGAGCACUGUUUCGGCUAGGGGGUCAUCCCGACUUACCAACCCGAUGCAAACUACGAAUACCGAAGAAUGUUAUCACGGGAGACACACGGCGGGUGCUAACGUCCGUCGUGAAGAGGGAAACAACCCAGACCGCCAGCUAAGGUCCCAAAGUCAUGGUUAAGUGGGAAACGAUGUGGGAAGGCACAGACAGCCAGGAUGUUGGCUUAGAAGCAGCCAUCAUUUAAAGAAAGCGUAAUAGCUCACUGGUCGAGUCGGCCUGCGCGGAAGAUGUAACGGGGCUAAACCAUGCACCGAAGCUGCGGCAGCGACACUAUGUGUUGUUGGGUAGGGGAGCGUUCUGUAAGCCUGCGAAGGUGACCUGUGAGGGUUGCUGGAGGUAUCAGAAGUGCGAAUGCUGACAUAAGUAACGAUAAAGCGGGUGAAAAGCCCGCUCGCCGGAAGACCAAGGGUUCCUGUCCAACGUUAAUCGGGGCAGGGUGAGUCGACCCCUAAGGCGAGGCCGAAAGGCGUAGUCGAUGGGAAACAGGUUAAUAUUCCUGUACUUGGUGUUACUGCGAAGGGGGGACGGAGAAGGCUAUGUUAGCCGGGCGACGGUUGUCCCGGUUUAAGCAUGUAGGCUGAUUGUCCAGGCAAAUCCGGAUAAUCAAGGCUGAGGUGUGAUGACGAGGCACUACGGUGCUGAAGUAACAAAUGCCCUGCUUCCAGGAAAAGCCUCUAAGCAUCAGGUAACAUUAAAUCGUACCCCAAACCGACACAGGUGGUCAGGUAGAGAAUACCAAGGCGCUUGAGAGAACUCGGGUGAAGGAACUAGGCAAAAUGGUGCCGUAACUUCGGGAGAAGGCACGCUGGUGUGUAGGUGAAGUCCCUGCGGAUGGAGCUGAGACCAGUCGAAGAUACCAGCUGGCUGCAACUGUUUAUUAAAAACACAGCACUGUGCAAACACGAAAGUGGACGUAUACGGUGUGACGCCUGCCCGGUGCCGGAAGGUUAAUUGAUGGGGUUAUCCGUAAGGAGAAGCUCUUGAUCGAAGCCCCGGUAAACGGCGGCCGUAACUAUAACGGUCCUAAGGUAGCGAAAUUCCUUGUCGGGUAAGUUCCGACCUGCACGAAUGGCGUAAUGAUGGCCAGGCUGUCUCCACCCGAGACUCAGUGAAAUUGAACUCGCUGUGAAGAUGCAGUGUACCCGCGGCAAGACGGAAAGACCCCGUGAACCUUUACUAUAGCUUGACACUGAACAUUGAGCCUUGAUGUGUAGGAUAGGUGGGAGGCUUUGAAGCGUGGACGCCAGUCUGCGUGGAGCCAACCUUGAAAUACCACCCUUUAAUGUUUGAUGUUCUAACGUUGGCCCCUUACCGGGGUUGCGGACAGUGUCUGGUGGGUAGUUUGACUGGGGCGGUCUCCUCCCAAAGCGUAACGGAGGAGCACGAAGGUUAGCUAAUCCUGGUCGGACAUCAGGAGGUUAGUGCAAUGGCAUAAGCUAGCUUGACUGCGAGCGUGACGGCGCGAGCAGGUGCGAAAGCAGGUCAUAGUGAUCCGGUGGUUCUGAAUGGAAGGGCCAUCGCUCAACGGAUAAAAGGUACUCCGGGGAUAACAGGCUGAUACCGCCCAAGAGUUCAUAUCGACGGCGGUGUUUGGCACCUCGAUGUCGGCUCAUCACAUCCUGGGGCUGAAGUAGGUCCCAAGGGUAUGGCUGUUCGCCAUUUAAAGUGGUACGCGAGCUGGGUUUAGAACGUCGUGAGACAGUUCGGUCCCUAUCUGCCGUGGGCGCUGGAGAAUUGAGGGGGGCUGCUCCUAGUACGAGAGGACCGGAGUGGACGCAUCACUGGUGUUCGGGUUGUCAUGCCAAUGGCACUGCCCGGUAGCUAAAUGCGGAAGAGAUAAGUGCUGAAAGCAUCUAAGCACGAAACUUGCCCCGAGAUGAGUUCUCCCUGAGACUUUAAGUCUCCUGAAGGAACGUUGAAGACGACGACGUUGAUAGGCCGGGUGUGUAAGCGCAGCGAUGCGUUGAGCUAACCGGUACUAAUGAACCGUGAGGCUUAACCUUACAACGCCGAAG